rnacentral:rRNA from 1 species
UAGGGAAUUUUCGUCAAUGGGGGGAACCCUGAACGAGCAAUGCCGCGUGUGUGAAGAAGGUCUUCGGAUCGUAAAGCACUGUUGUAAGUUAAGAAUGCCAUAUAGAGGAAAUGCUAUGUGGGUGACGGUAGCUUACCAGAAAGCCACGGCUAACUACGUGCCAGCAGCCGCGGUAAUACGUAGGUGGCAAGCGUUAUCCGGAAUCAUUGGGCGUAAAGGGUGCGUAGGUGGCACGAUAAGUCUGAAGUAAAAGGCAACAGCUCAACUGUUGUAUGCUUUGGAAACUGUCGAGCUAGAGUGCAGAAGAGGGCGAUGGAAUUCCAUGUGUAGCGGUAAAAUGCGUAGAUAUAUGGAGGAACACCAGUGGCGAAGGCGGUCGCCUGGUCUGUAACUGACACUGAUGCACGAAAGCGUGGGGAGCAAACAGGAUUAGAUACC